AGAGUGGAGGGCUAAAGAGAGGGCCUGGUGACUGAACACUGGGCCACCUACAGCUGCCUCAAUCCAGAAGCCCGCGAUGGAGAGCCAGGAGGGAUGUCACGGAGGUACUGUGUCAUCCUCAGCCAUGCUGGCCCUGUGAGCUGCCAGCCUUCUCUCACAUUGCUUCUGGUUCACUUGGAGACCACACAGCUGGUUAAGGGGACACUCCCUCCCUCUUUCUUUUUCCUCAUAUGGUGGUAAAAUAUGCAUGACAAAACCGACCAUGUGAAAACUGUUACUGUAAAUUCAUUUUGAAAGGAGAAGCACAGUGGGGGCAAGAGGUGGGGAGUCACGACACAGACACCCGGAGUCAGGUGAAAGCCGGCUAGAGGUGAGCAGCUUGCAGACUCUUGCAGUUGGUGUAGCAGCUUAUCUAGCCAAGGCAGCCAAUCUGGUCAAUGGAUGGUUUAUGCCAUAACCAAUCACUGCCUGUUGCUAGGCAGGCUCCUUUGCCAGGUGGGUUCCGAAGCCAUUUCCUGAGUAACUGACACUCGCUCACCAGUGCCAUCUUGGCAAGGUCAGCUCAUUCCACCACAGUUAAUUAGGUUACCUCUACGUGCCUUAUUUGGUCACAGCUCAACAGUCCUCUAUAGCUGGUACCCUGUACUUCAUGUGGAUUGCAUGACACCAGGUGGCAGGUGGUCAUUGUCCCUUAAGUUAUGAGAUCCUUUUUGAGGUAUCCAGGAGCACCUGAGCAGGAGUUGAGACUUGGAAAGUACCAGAAUGUUUUGCUGCUGUGACCAGGGCAAAAGAAGUCACCAGUGACAUUGACGGGUGUUUCCCUCUCUGCGAUUCUUUUAAAGUUGGCUGGAAAAUUUCUUCUCCCUGUUCAACAUAUUCAACUGCCAUGAAGAGUGUGUUCCAUGCUCCAAGCAUCCAAAUGUAUGGAAUUUUUAGGCUCUACCGUUUGUCUGAAAUGAAGCAAUGGAUCUGCAAACUCAUUGGUCUCUUCUUCAGUUAUCUGUCCUGGGCUUUUGGUGUGAGCCUUGUCAACAGCAGAUCCUGGCGCGUGUGGGAAUUCGACAGCCAGACUGUGCCUUUUGUGUUCAUUGGAUUUUGGGAAGCCUUCUAUUACAAAAGAGUUAACAUCUCUGGUUCAGUAACGGAGGUGCCGAUGUCUAGCACUAUCAAUGCAAGCUGGGUCAUUUCGACUGAGAUUGAAUAUGGGCGGGACCUGAUAGUGCUGCCUAUUUUUAUGAAGACGACUGUUCUGAUCUUCAGCACAGUGGCCGUUCUGGUCAGCUGGAUGAAGGCACCAUACCCAGAGUUCAUCCAAAUGUGUUACAAAAUAUCUGUCUUCUUCCUUUUCACCAGCUGUGGCUGUACCUUCACUGUAGUGAUCUGGAAUUUCACUGUGGAUUUUUAUGGGCAAAGCACUCUUGACUUUCCCCUUACCUUUCCUGUUGACAAAGAAAUCCUGAUAAGGAAACACUUCAGCUAUGUGUUUCCAGCAGGAAUCUCGACAGCCACUCUAUCACUAGUAAGUGCCACCAUGUUUCUCUGUGAGUUAUGUUUAGCAGAACGGCGGAAUCGAGUAAAACCCCUGCCUGUGGACGAUCAUUCAAAGGAAAAGGUCUGAACUGAGGGCUUUCUCAGUUUUGGAAGUUUUGGAAGUUUUCUCAGUUUUUGGAAGGCUGCUGGUAGAAAUUUCUUGAAGAAAUUUUCUGCAUACAGAAAAUACUGUGGCUAUCAUCUACACAUUGAAUGUAACACAUAUUUGACUCUUGUAGUGUGUGUCUCAAGCUUAUAUUCUCUUCUGUUCCGUUCUGUAAAGCUACCCAUCUCUGAAGCAUUUCUCUUCUUGAAAUCUGCAGGCAAACAUCUUCUGUACACACACUGCCAAAAACCAAAAGCAGGGGAAAGUACUGAUGGUCUAGUGCAAGCAUGCAUCAGUGAGCACAAGCAACUCCACGCUGAGUGAGUUUAUUAAAAAAAAAAGCUCAUAUGUACACAUAGGAAAAUCACCAUGUUUGCAGCUAAGAAAUCUCAAAGCCCUUACAGUUGGUUAGGUUAGAGCAGGGUUCCUCAAAUGGGGGCCCACUUGACAUUUUGGAUGGAGUUCCUUUUGGGGAUACCUAGCAGUUUCUGUACCCAUUCAAUGUCAGUCACACAUGCCUCUCUCUCCAGCUGUGACCACCCCAAAUUUCAGACAUUUCCAUGUAUCUGCUGAUGAGCACAAUUGAUCUGUCUUGCAAAUCCCUGGGGUACAUGUAGCCAAUGACCCAGAAGAAUGAAAGUUAUGAAAUGUUGACAGGAUUUGGAGGAAAAUUGGUUAUCAAAUAAAACUGCAUAGGCUCAGCCUACCACAGCAUUCUGUGCCCUGGUCAUUGGCUACCAUUAGCUUAGGGGCCGACUGGGGAAGACUUUGCUUCCUCUUCCCGGGGACAUCUGGCAGUGGCAAUGGCAGUGACAAAAUGUAAUCUCAGAACUACAACACUCCAUCAUAAGGUUAGAGAGCCUGAUAAACAAUGAUGAUGAGAGAACUGGGAAUCUUAGGUUAAAAAUAUGAAGAAGUUGCCUGAAACAGCAUGAAUGACAGGGAAACUGAAAACAUGAUAGAGCACUUCAGAGGCAGGGAAAACAGAAUGAGAAGUCCCAAUGUAUGUUCCAAGGACUUUUUGUGGAAUAAAAGUUUGCUGUGAACUAGUUGAAAGGUUGAAGAUUUUCCAGAAUUGUGAAAAACAUGAAUCUUCAGAUUGAGGAAAUACAUACGUCUCGAGCAGGUUAAAUUAUCACAGAUUCACACCUGGAUAUAUGAAGACAUGCUUCAAAAAGCUUGUGGGAAAAGAAAUUUAAAAGUAAGUUUAUUUUGGUGCAAAAUAGUUUUGGAAUCCUUGCGCAGUUAUUUUUUUUUUGAGAAUUAUUUAAUUUAUUUGAAAGUC